rnacentral:tRNA from 1 species
AAGGAUUUAAGUUAAAGAAACUAUUAACCUUCAAAGUUAAAAAUAGGUAGAUAAUCUAAGCCUUA